UACAGAGGGUGCGAGCGUUGUCCGGAAUCACUGGGCGUAAAGGGCGCGUAGGUGGCGCCGCAAGUCCAUGGUGAAAGCUCGAUGCUCAACAUCGAGUCGGCCACGGAGACUGCGGGGCUCGAGCACUGUAGGGGCAGAUGGAAUUCCGGGUGUAGCGGUGGAAUGCGUAGAGAUCCGGAAGAACACCAGUGGCGAAGGCGGCCCGCUGGGCAGUGGCUGACGCUGAGGCGCGACAGCGUGGGGAGCAAGCAGG
rnacentral:rRNA from 1 species